UACGGGGGGUGCGAGCGUUGUCCGGAAUCACUGGGCGUAAAGGGCGCGUAGGUGGUCUGAUAAGGGUGUGGUGAAAGCCCGGGGCUCAACCCCGGGUCGGCCGUGCCGACUGUUAGACCAGAGUGCUGUAGGGGCAGGCGGAAUUCCGGGUGUAGCGGUGGAAUGCGUAGAGAUCCGGAGGAAGACCGGUGGCGAAGGCGGCCUGCUGGGCAGAUACUGACACUGAGGCGCGACAGCGUGGGGAGCAAACAGG
rnacentral:rRNA from 1 species